rnacentral:rRNA from 1 species
UACGUAGGGUGCAAGCGUUGUCCGGAAUUAUUGGGCGUAAAGAGCUCGUAGGCGGUCUGUCGCGUCGGAUGUGAAAACCCAGGGCUCAACCCUGGGCCUGCAUUCGAUACGGGCAGACUAGAGUUCGGUAGGGGAGACUGGAAUUCCUGGUGUAGCGGUGAAAUGCGCAGAUAUCAGGAGGAACACCGGUGGCGAAGACGGGUCUCUGGGCCGAAACUGACGCUGAGGAGCGAAAGCGUGGGGAGCGAACAGG